rnacentral:ncRNA from 2 species
AUAUUCCUUCGGGGUCGGGUGAAAGUCCCAACCGGCGGUGAUGAGGCAUGCCUCUUAGUCCGUGACCCGGCUUUACGCUUAGUGAAGACGGUGGAUUUGGUGAAAUUCCAAAGCCGACAGUUAUAGUCUGGAUGGGAGAAGGAAUGG